rnacentral:rRNA from 1 species
UGACGGUAACUUACCAGAAAGGGACGGCUAACUACGUGCCAGCAGCCGCGGUAAUACGUAUGGAGCAAGCGUUAUCCGGAUUUACUGGGUGUAAAGGGAGCGUAGACGGGACAGCAAGUCUGAUGUGAAAGGCGGGGGCUCAACCCCUGGACUGCAUUUGAAACUGUAGCCCUUGAGUAUCGGAGAGGCAAGCGGAAUUCCUAGUGUAGCGGUGAAAUGCGUAGAUAUUAGGAGGAACACCAGUGGCGAAGGCGGCUUGCUGGACGACAACUGACGCUGAGGCGCGAAAGCGUGGGGAGCAAACAGGAUUAGAUACCCUG